rnacentral:rRNA from 1 species
UACGGGGGGAGCAAGCGUUGUUCGGAUUUACUGGGCGUAAAGGGCGCGGUAGGCGGUCGUGACAAGUCACUUGUGAAAUCUCCGGGCUUAACUCGGAACGGUCAAGUGAUACUGUCGGACUAGAGUACAGAAGGGGCAACUGGAAUUCUCGGUGUAGCGGUGAAAUGCGCAGAUAUCAGGAGGAACACCAAUUGCGAAGGCAGCUCGCUGGGACGUUACUGACGCUGAGACGGCGAAAGCGUGGGGAGCAAACAGG